rnacentral:lncRNA from 1 species
GCAGAAACCACGUUGUGAUCUCUGCAUUCAACUCACAGAGUUGAACCUUUCUUCCUAUAGAGCAGCUAUGAAACAGUCUCUUUGUAGAAUUUGCAAGGGUGUAUUUAGAGGGCAUUGAAGCCUACGGUAGAAAAGGAAAUAUCUUACCAUAAAAUCUACUCAGAAGCAUUCUCAGAAACUGAGUUGUGAUGUUUGCAUUCAACUCACAGAGUUCAACAUUCCUUUUAAUGGAGCGGUUUUGAAACACUCUUUUUGCAGAAUCUGCAAGUGGAUAUUUGGACCUCUUUGAGGCCUUCGUUGGAAACGGGAUUUCUUCAUGUAAUGCCAGACAGAAGAAUUCUCAGUGAAUUCUUUCUGUGUGUGUGUAUUCAACUCACAGAGUUGAACGUUCCUUUAGACAGAGUAGAUUGGAAACACUCUUUUUGUGGAAUUUUCAGGUGGAGGUAUCAAGCGCUUUGAGGCCAAUGAUAGAAAAGGAAAUACCUUCGUAUAAUAAUUAGACGGAAUCAUUCUCAGAAACUGCUUUGCAAUGUGUGCGUUCAACUCACAGUGUUUAACCUUUCUUUUCAUACAGUUGUUUCGAAACACUCUUUUUGCAGAAUCUGCAAGUGGAUAUUUGGACCUCUUUGAAGUCUUCGUUGGAAAUGGGAUUUCUUCAUAUAAUGCUAGACAGAAGACUUCUCAGUAACUGCUUUUUCUGGUGUGUAUUCAACUCUCAGAGUUGAACUUUCCUUUAGAAACAGCAGAGUUGAAACUCUCUUUUUGUGGAAUUUGCAAGUGGAGAUUUCAAAGCUUUGAGGCCAAUGGUAGAAAAGGAAAUAUCUUCGUAUGCAAACUAGACAGAAUCAUUCUCAGAAACUACUUUGGUACGUGUGUGUUCAACUCACAGUGUUUAACCUUUCUUUUCAUAGAGCAGUUUGGAAACACUCAGUUUGUAAAGUCAGCAACUGGAUAUUUGGAUGUAUUUGAGGCCUUCGUUGGAAACGGGAUUUCUUCAUAUAAUGCUAGACAGAAGAAUUCUCAGUAACUUCUUAGGGUUGUGGGUAUUCAACUCACAGAGUUGAAGCUUCCUUUAGGCGGAGCAGAUUGGAAACACUUUUUGUGGAAUUUUCAGGGGGAGACUUCAAGCGCUUUGAAGUGAAUGGUAGAAAAGGAAAUAUCUUCGUAUAAAAACUAGACGGAGUCAUUCUCAGAAACUACUUUGUGAUGUUUGCAUUCAACUCACAGAGUUUAACGUUUCUUUUCAUAGAGCAGUUUGGAAACACUCUUUUUGCAGAAUCUGCAAGUGGAUAUUUGGACCUCUUUGUGGCCUUCGUUGGAAACGGGAUUUUUCAUAUAAUGCUAGACAGAAGAAUUCUCAGUAACUUCUUUUUGUGGUGUGUAUUCAACUCACAGAGUUCAACUUUCCUUUAGACAGAGCAGAUUUGAAACUCUCUUUUUGUGGAAUUUGCAAGUGGAGAUUUCAAGCGCUUUGAGGUCAAUGGUAGAAAAGGAAAUAUCUUCAUAGAAAAACUAGACAGAAUGAUUCUCAGAAACU